rnacentral:rRNA from 1 species
GAUGAACGCUGGCGGCGUGCCUAAUACAUGCAAGUCGAGCGAACAGACGAGGAGCUUGCCCCUCUGACGUUAGCGGCGGACGGGUGAGUAACACGUGGAUAACCUACCUAUAAGACUGGGAUAACUUCGGGAAACCGGAGCUAAUACCGGAUAAUAUAUUGAACCGCAUGGUUCAAUAGUGAAAGACGGUUUUGCUGUCACUUAUAGAUGGAUCCGCGCCGCAUUAGCUAGUUGGUAAGGUAACGGCUUACCAAGGCGACGAUGCGUAGCCGACCUGAGAGGGUGAUCGGCCACACUGGAACUGAGACACGGUCCAGACUCCUACGGGAGGCAGCAGUAGGGAAUCUUCCGCAAUGGGCGAAAGCUUGACGGAGCAACGCCGCGUGAGUGAUGAAGGUCUUCGGAUCGUAAAACUCUGUUAUUAGGGAAGAACAAAUGUGUAAGUAACUAUGCACGUCUUGACGGUACCUAAUCAGAAAGCCACGGCUAACUACGUG